AUUUAUAUAGUUUAAACAAAACAUUACACUUUCACUGUAAAAACAAAGAAAACUUUUAUAAAUA
rnacentral:tRNA from 2 species